CGCUGCUUCGGCAGCGCAUACGCUAAACUUAGAACAAUACAGAGGAGAUUAGUGUGGCCCCUGUGCAAGGGUGACACACAGAUUCGUGAAGUGUUCCAGACUUUU
rfam:Otolemur garnettii contig016362, whole genome shotgun sequence.